rfam:Anolis carolinensis unplaced genomic scaffold chrTn0132, whole genome shotgun sequence.
GACUACGGUCAAACCGCUCUGAAUAAGCCCGAUCCCACUAGAUUUUGGAAGCUAGGAAGGGAUGGGCCCAGGAUGUUCUUGGACGGGAAACCACCAGGGCAUACUGGGUGGUGUAGGCC